rnacentral:rRNA from 1 species
GAUGAACGCUGGCGGCGUGCCUAAUACAUGCAAGUCGAGCGAACAGACGAGAAGCUUGCUCCUCUGACGUUAGCGGCGGACGGGUGAGUAACACGUGGAUAACCUACCUAUAAGACUGGGAUAACUUCGGGAAACCGGAGCUAAUACCGGAUAAUAUUUUGAACCGCAUGGUUCAAUAGUGAAAGACGGUCUUGCUGUCACUUAUAGAUGGAUCCGCGCCGCAUUAGCUAGUUGGUAAGGUAACGGCUUACCAAGGCAACGAUGCGUAGCCGACCUGAGAGGGUGAUCGGCCACACUGGAACUGAGACACGGUCCAGACUCCUACGGGAGGCAGCAGUAGGGAAUCUGCCGCAAUGGGCGAAAGCCUGACGGAGCAACGCCGCGUGAGUGAUGAAGGUCUUCGGAUCGUAAAACUCUGUUAUUAGGGAAGAACAAAUGUGUAAGUAACUGUGCACGUCUUGACGGUACCUAAUCAGAAAGCCACGGCUAACUACGUG